GCUGGCCGCAGGCCUAAGACAUGCAAGUCGAACGGUAACAGGAAGCAGCUUGCUGCUUCGCUGACGAGUGGCGGACGGGUGAGUAAUGUCUGGGAAACUGCCUGAUGGAGGGGGAUAACUACUGGAAACGGUGGCUAAUACCGCAUAACGUCGCAAGACCAAAGAGGGGGACCUUCGGGCCUCUUGCCAUCAGAUGUGCCCAGAUGGGAUUAGCUUGUUGGUGAGGUAACGGCUCACCAAGGCGACGAUCCCUAGCUGGUCUGAGAGGAUGACCAGCCACACUGGAACUGAGACACGGUCCAGACUCCUACGGGAGGCAGCAGUGGGGAAUAUUGCACAAUGGGCGCAAGCCUGAUGCAGCCAUGCCGCGUGUAUGAAGAAGGCCUUCGGGUUGUAAAGUACUUUCAGCGGGGAGGAAGGUGUUGUGGUUAAUAACCGCAGCAAUUGACGUUACCCGCAGAAGAAGCACCGGCUAACUCCGUGCCAGCAGCCGCGGUAAUACGGAGGGUGCAAGCGUUAAUCGGAAUUACUGGGCGUAAAGCGCACGCAGGCGGUCUGUCAAGUCGGAUGUGAAAUCCCCGGGCUCAACCUGGGAACUGCAUUCGAAACUGGCAGGCUUGAGUCUUGUAGAGGGGGGUAGAAUUCCAGGUGUAGCGGUGAAAUGCGUAAAGAUCUGGAGGAAUACCGGUGGCGAAGGCGGCCCCCUGGACAAAGACUGACGCUCAGGUGCGAAAGCGUGGGGGAGCAAACAGGAUUACAUACCCUGGGGGUCCACCCCGUAAACGAUGUCUACUUUG
rnacentral:rRNA from 1 species